rnacentral:rRNA from 1 species
UACGGGGGGGGCAAGCGUUGUUCGGAAUUACUGGGCGUAAAGAGCGCGCAGGCGGUCGUGCAAGUCGCGUGUGAAAGCCCCCGGCUCAACUGGGGAGGGUCACGCGAUACUGUUCGACUCGAAGGCAGGAGAGGGAAGUGGAAUUCCCGGUGUAGUGGUGAAAUGCGUAGAUAUCGGGAGGAACACCAGUGGCGAAGGCGACUUCCUGGCCUGUUCUUGACGCUGAGGCGCGAAAGCUAGGGUAGCAAACGGG